UAGCGAGUACAGACAUUGCUUCUAUCUUUGAGGAGCACCAUAUCUGUAAGAACAGUAGCAUGCUGCAGUGUGACCAAUACCGGGACAGUAGGCGUCUAUGCACUGGACUAGAACAAGCUUGUCUUCAACAAUGUAUUGGUGGGUCAGUCAGCCAAAGCCCAGUUCUGGCUGACCAAUCCAGGGAAUGUGUCCUGUAAACUCAGCCUGGUCAUCAAAACAGUCAAGUUUUAGACAUACAAAGAUGUGUAUCCCCAGCCACUCAUGCUUUUGCCACCAUCACCUUUUCUCCUAUGACUAUGCACAUAUAUCAUGCAGUGUUUGAGGCAGUUCUGAAAGGGACCACAAGGUAACUGCUUUCAAUACAGGUUUGAACUGUUUAGAUGGUUGUUGAUAGAUUGUUGAGGCUUUACUCAUUCUGUUUUGUAACACUGUCAAGCUUCUGCCCCCAAACCUAAAGCUCUGGUGUUUGAUCUAAUGGGUGAAGGCAAUUUGCCCUGUAUCACUGUUCUGAGACCUAUUCAGAGGUCAGUCAGUGCUAAAUUUCAAGCGCUUAUUGGUGGGACAAGGGCAGACUCUUCCAUUAGUGAUCAAGGACAAUGGCAAUGUGCCUGCACAAGUUAGCAUUAUUCUACAAUGUCACCUGGAAGUUUUCACUCUAAAAGCGGCUCCUGGCUGGUUUGCAUACUGGCCUCCUCACAAAUAGAAAGCAAUCCUAGAGAAGGCAAGCCAUAAACACACAUGAAGAGUCAUAGACAUUCAUUUCUGCACAAUGCUGUUAUGUUUUGCUCUUCAAAUGAGCUAUGAAACCAAUAACACAAACAGAAGCAGAUUGUUUUGGAUCUUGCU